rnacentral:rRNA from 1 species
GAUGAACGCUGGCGGCGUGCUUAACACAUGCAAGUCGAACGAGAAGUGAAGACGGAAACCUUCGGGCGGAAGGCUUUAUUUCGAGUGGCGGACGGGUGAGUAACGCGUGGGUAACCUGCCUCAUACAGGGGGAUAACAGUUGGAAACGACUGUUAAUACCGCAUAAGACCACAGCACCGCAUGGUGCGGGGGUAAAAACUCCGGUGGUAUGAGAUGGACCCGCGUUCGAUUAGCCAGUUGGCGGGGUAACGGCCCACCAAAGCGACGAUCGAUAGCCGAUCUGAGAGGAUGACCGGCCACAUUGGGACUGAGACACGGCCCAAACUCCUACGGGAGGCAGCAGUGGGGAAUAUUGCACAAUGGGGGAAACCCUGAUGCAGCGACGCCGUGUGAGUGAAGAAGUAUUUCGGUAUGUAAAGCUCUAUCAGCAGGGAAGAAAAUGACGGUACCUGAGUAAGAAGCCCCGGCUAACUACGUG